AUGACAUGCUGAAAUGAGACCGGCACUACCACCAUGUGAAAAACUCCAUUGAUUUUUGAGAUUUCAAGUUGCCCGUUCUCAGCCUCUAAUUGCUCGGACAGCAAACGGUUCUAGAAGGUUAUGAGCUAUAUCGGUAGGAAGAAAAUACCAGUUUGGAGCGAUUCUGACGUAGGCCAAAAAACGGCCUUAUUGACACCCCUCCUUUCAGAAUAACGUGACAGAGAAACAUUUGAAAACUGUUGACAGUGAGAAUGAUUAGUGAUCAAUUAAAUUAAAUUUGAAUCACCAAAUUGUUUAUGUCAUUGUUGGUCCAGAACGGGAUUCAUCUUCAUAAUUUCACCGUCAUCUAAAAAUGCCUUGUACCCGGGAUAGAAUUUGAUCUCUGCAUAAAAUAAUACUAUUUGCAAAACGCAUGGGACGAAAUGCUCGAAUAUGAAUCAACUUAUUUUCCAUGUAGAUUCAUCACGUGCAAGAGCAUAAAAUCGAUGAUUAGUCAACCAUGCCCUCUUCUUAGAAAGAAGAACUGUAAUUACUUUACCUUGAGAGGGUUUGCAAUCAGCAUAAUCUGCGUAAUUGCGGAUGGAGGGAGGAAUGGAU